CACAAUGCCUCAUGCAUGAGGCAGUCAGUAAAUAUUUGCUGAAUGAUUUGAGUUCACUUUGACUAUUGCACGUUAGUCAGCAUACAAGUCUGUAGUCAUUUAUUGUUAAAUUUCUUCCUGACAUAUAUUUGGUGUAGGAGGAAAAGUGUGUGGGUUUCAGAAAAAUACAGAGAAUGGACAAUUAAGUUUUCCUAGGGUGUGCCGCAUCCUGUUGUCCUAAAAAUGUUUCAGAAAAGCAGAUUGCUGCAAGUACAGUUAGCAAAAAGCAAAAUAGAGGAAUGCUUAAAGAAUAGCAAAAAGGUAAUGCUUGUGUUUGAACUUUAAAUUAGAAGAAAAAUUAUUCUUGUGAUUUUAACUUAUCUGCCAAAUCAGAGUUUUUUCCUAAAUAGAAAAAGUUGUGUCUUAGACUAUAUUUUUUAUUCAAAAAAUUUUUAUAGUUUCCUUUUAUUGAUGUGGUUUGGACUUAUAAAUAAAACUAAAUAUCUCAUUUCCUUUUUUUUGUUU
rnacentral:lncRNA from 1 species